ensembl:ncRNA asRNA:CR45882 antisense RNA:CR45882
AUGGUUGGUUAGUUCCCAGCACGACUGCAGUCGCAGGAUGCUGAGGCUGUGGCUCUGUUUGGGCGAGAAGUAGCCGAGAGCCGCAUCCGUGACGUGGUAAGCCUGUUGAGGGGCGGAAGGAGAUUCAAUUAAUUCGAUACGAGAUGCGGCAUAAGAGGGGAAAAGGGUGUAGGAGCAGCAGCUCUAGGAGCUGUGGCAGAUCCUCAUCAAUCUGGACUUGCCUGCAGCGAGAACUCGUAGAGGGAGGGCAGGAGCUGGGCCACCGCGCCCACCGCCUCGUCCGCGAUGUUGAUGCAGUCCGCCAGGGAUAGGGAUACGAUUCGGGGCGUUAGACACGCCCACAGUCCCGCCUCGGUCACCUCGUUGCAGCCAGCCAGCUCCAGUUCAAACAAACUCUGCAAUUUAAAAGGAUUGAGUAUUAUCAACUGCAGCAAGGACACUUUGCACAAAGGAUGUUAUUAAAAAUAUCAGACAUCUACUCUAGUAUGUGUAUUAAAUUUAUAGUACUUCUAAACAUUAGUUAGGAAUCAAGGAAUGCCACUCUAAAUAAAUAAAAUUGUUUAAAUUAAGUCAGACUAAUCAACACGAAUCGAUAUUAAUUUACAUGUAGCACAAGCGAAAACAAAAAAACCACUUGUAAACAAAUGUUUUCCAUGGAAAAAAAUGC